rnacentral:rRNA from 1 species
CGAAGGGAUAGGGUCGGUUCGGCCGGAUUUCACACAGGUGUUGCAUGGCUGUCGUCAGCUCGUGUCGUGAGAUGUUGGGUUAAGUCCCGCAACGAGCGUAACCCUCAUCCUUAGUUACCAUCAGGUAAUGCUGGGGACUUUAAGGAAACUGCUAGUGAUAAACUGGAGGAAGGUGGGGAUGAUGUCAAGUCAUCAUGGCCCUUAUGGAGUGGGCUACACACGUGCUACAAUGGUGGCUACAAUGGGCUGCAAAGUCGCGAGGCUAAGCUAAUCCCUUAAAAGCCAUCUCAGUUCGGAUUGUACUCUGCAACUCGAGUGCAUGAAGUUGGAAUCGCUAGUAAUCGUGGAUCAGCAUGCCACGGUGAAUACGUUCUCGGGUCUUGUACACACUGCCCGUCACGCCAUGGGAAUUGGUUUCACAG